GACGAACGCUGGCGGCGUGCCUAAUACAUGCAAGUCGAACGGAGUGGCGAACGGGUGAGUAACACGUGGGUGACCUGCCCUGCACUUCGGGAUAAGCCUGGGAAACUGGGUCUGAUACCGGAUAGUGUGGGAUGGGCCCGCGGCCUAUCAGCUUGGUGGUGGGGUAAUGGCCUACCAAGGCGGCGACUGGUAGCCGGCCUGAGAGGGUGGACGGCCCAAGUGGGACUGAGACACGGUCCAGACGCGGACGGGAGGCAGCAGUGGGGAAUAGUGCACAAUGGGCGGAAGCCUGAUGCAGCGACGCUGCGUGGGGGAUGACGGCCUUCGGGUUGUAAACUCCUUUCACCAUCGACGCGGUAGAUGGAGAAGAAGCACCGGCUAACUACGUGCCAGCAGCCGCGGUAAUAC
rnacentral:rRNA from 1 species